GAAAUGCGAUAAGUAGUGUGAAUUGCAGAAUUCAGUGAAUCAUCGAAUCUUUGAACGCACAUUGCGCCCCUUGGUAUUCCAUGGAGCAUGCCUGUUCGAGCGUCAUUUGUACCCUCAAGCUCUGCUUGGUGUUGGGUGUUUGUCCCCGUCUCCGCGCGUGGACUCGCCCCAAAGUGAUUGGCAGCCGGCGUACUGGUCCCGGAGCGCAGCACAUGUCGCGCAAACGAGUGCCUUGGUACGGCGGCGUCCAUAAGCCCCUCUCUCACGCUCUUGACCUCGGAUCAGGUAGGGAUACCCGCUGAACUUAAGC
rnacentral:misc_RNA from 1 species